GGUGUGACUUGAUUCGAUAAUCUCACCUAAGAAGAAAUCCCAGAGAAGUAGGAGGAAAAGAAAAAAAUGGCUGGUUCUCAGAGGCUGUUGACAUUCAGGGAUGUGGCCAUAGAAUUCUCUCAAGAGGAGUUGGUAUUCCUGGACCCCACUCAGCAGAUAUUGUACAGGAAUGUGAUGUUAGAGAACCACAGAAACCUGGUUUUUCUAGGACUUGCUGCCUCUAAGCCAGACCUGAUCACCUGUCUGGAGCAAAGGAAAGAGCCCUGGGAAAUGAAGAGACAGCACAUCAGCC